UGGGGAAUAUUGCACAAUGGGCGCAAGCCUGAUGCAGCCAUGCCGCGUGUAUGAAGAAGGCCUUCGGGUUGUAAAGUACUUUCAGCGGGGAGGAAGGGAGUAAAGUUAAUACCUAUGCUCAUUGACGUUACCCGCAGAAGAAGCACCGGCUAACUCCGUGCCAGCAGCCGCGGUAAUACGGAGGGUGCAAGCGUUAAUCGGAAUUACUGGGCGUAAAGCGCACGCAGGCGGUUUGUUAAGUCAGAUGUGAAAUCCCCGGGCUCAACCUGGGAACUGCAUCUGAUACUGGCAAGCUUGAGUCUCGUAGAGGGGGGUAGAAUUCCAGGUGUAGCGGUGAAAUGCGUAGAGAUCUGGAGGAAUACCGGUGGCGAAGGCGGCCCCCUGGACGAAGACUGACGCUCAGGUGCGAAAGCGUGGGGAGCAAACAGG
rnacentral:rRNA from 1 species